rnacentral:rRNA from 1 species
GACGAACGCUGGCGGCGUGCUUAACACAUGCAAGUCGAACGGAAAGGCCUCUUUCGGGGGGUACUCGAGUGGCGAACGGGUGAGUAACACGUGAGUAACCUGCCCUUGACUUUGGGAUAACUUCAGGAAACUGGGGCUAAUACCGGAUAGGAGCUCCUGCUGCAUGGUGGGGGUUGGAAAGUUUCGGCGGUUGGGGAUGGACUCGCGGCUUAUCAGCUUUGUGGUGGGGUAGUGGCUUACCAAGGCUUUGACGGGUAGCCGGCCUGAGGGGGUGACCGGCCACACUGGGACUGAGAUACGGCCCAGACUCCUACGGGAGGCAGCAGUGGGGAAGAUUGCACAAUGGGUGGCAGCCGGAUGCAGCAACGCCGUGUGCGGGAUGACGGCCUUCGGGUUGUAAACCGCUUUCGCUCAUGACGAAGCUUUGUGUGACGGUAGUGGGUAAAGAAGCACCGGCUAACUACGUG